GACGAACGCUGGCGGCGUGCCUAAUACAUGCAAGUCGAGCGAAGUUUUUCUGGUGCUUGCACCGGAAAAACUUAGCGGCGAACGGGUGAGUAACACGUAAAGAACCUGCCUCAUAGACUGGGACAACUAUUGGAAACGAUAGCUAAUACCGGAUAACAGCAUUAACUGCAUGGUUGAUGUUUAAAAGUUGGUUUUGCUAACACUAUGAGAUGGCUUUGCGGUGCAUUAGCUAGUUGGUGGGGUAAAGGCCUACCAAGGCGACGAUGCAUAGCCGACCUGAGAGGGUGAUCGGCCGCACUGGGACUGAGACACGGCCCAGACUCCUACGGGAGGCAGCAGUAGGGAAUCUUCCGCAAUGGGCGAAAGCCUGACGGAGCAACGCCGCGUGAGUGAAGAAGGAUUUCGGUUCGUAAAGCUCUGUUGUUAGGGAAGAAUGAUUGUGUAGUAACUAUACACAGUAGAGACGGUACCUAACCAGAAAGCCACGGCUAACUACGUG
rnacentral:rRNA from 1 species